UGGGGAAUUUUGGACAAUGGGCGCAAGCCUGAUCCAGCCAUGCCGCGUGUGGGAAGAAGGCCUUCGGGUUGUAAACCACUUUUGUCAGGGAAGAAACGGCUCUUACUAAUAUUAGGAGCUAAUGACGGUACCUGAAGAAUAAGCACCGGCUAACUACGUGCCAGCAGCCGCGGUAAUACGUAGGGUGCAAGCGUUAAUCGGAAUUACUGGGCGUAAAGCGUGCGCAGGCGGCUUUGCAAGACAGAUGUGAAAUCCCCGGGCUCAACCUGGGAACUGCAUUUGUGACUGCAAGGCUAGAGUACGGUAGAGGGGGAUGGAAUUCCGCGUGUAGCAGUGAAAUGCGUAGAUAUGCGGAGGAACACCGAUGGCGAAGGCAAUCCCCUGAACCUGUACUGACGCUCAUGCACGAAAGCGUGGGGAGCAAACAGGAUUAGAUACCCCCGUAGUCCCUGAGCGGGCUGGCAAGGCGCAU
rnacentral:rRNA from 1 species